GACGAACGCUGGCGGCGUGCUUAACACAUGCAAGUCGAACGGAAAGGCCCUGCUUUUGUGGGGUGCUCGAGUGGCGAACGGGUGAGUAACACGUGAGUAACCUGCCCUUGACUUUGGGAUAACUUCAGGAAACUGGGGCUAAUACCGGAUAGGAGCUCCUGCUGCAUGGUGGGGGUUGGAAAGUUUCGGCGGUUGGGGAUGGACUCGCGGCUUAUCAGCUUGUUGGUGGGGUAGUGGCUUACCGAGGCUUUGACGGGUAGCCGGCCUGAGAGGGUGACCAGCCACAUUGGGACUGAGAUACGGCCCAGACUCCUACGGGAGGCAGCAGUGGGGAAUAUUGCACAAUGGGCGGAAGCCUGAUGCAGCAACGCCGCGUGCGGGAUGACGGCCUUCGGGUUGUAAACCGCUUUCGCCUGUGACGAAGCGUGAGUGACGGUAAUGGGUAAAGAAGCACCGGCUAACUACGUG
rnacentral:rRNA from 1 species